GGGGAAUCUUGCGCAAUGGGCGAAAGCCUGACGCAGCGACGCCGCGUGAGCGAUGAAGGCCUUCGGGUCGUAAAGCUCUGUCAGAGGGGACGAUAAUGACGGUACCCUCAGAGGAAGCCCCGGCUAACUACGUGCCAGCAGCCGCGGUAAGACGUAGGGGGCUAGCGUUGUCCGGAAUUACUGGGCGUAAAGGACGUGUAGGCGGCCAGGCAAGUCAGUGGUGAAACACCUGGGCUUAACCGAGGUAUUGCCGUUGAAACUGUCUGGCUUGAGGAUAGAAGAGGAGUGUGGAAUUCCCGGUGUAGCGGUGAAAUGCGUAGAGAUCGGGAGGAACACCAGUGGCGAAGGCGGCACUCUGGUCUAUACCUGACGCUGAGGCGCGAAAGCUAGGGAAGCAAAC
rnacentral:rRNA from 1 species